UACGGAGGGAGCUAGCGUUGUUCGGAAUUACUGGGCGUAAAGCGCACGUAGGCGGCUUUGUAAGUUAGAGGUGAAAGCCCGGGGCUCAACUCCGGAACUGCCUUUAAGACUGCAUCGCUUGAACAUCGGAGAGGUAAGUGGAAUUCCGAGUGUAGAGGUGAAAUUCGUAGAUAUUCGGAAGAACACCAGUGGCGAAGGCGACUUACUGGACGAUUGUUGACGCUGAGGUGCGAAAGCGUGGGGAGCAAACAGG
rnacentral:rRNA from 1 species